UACGUAGGGUGCGAGCGUUGUCCGGAAUUAUUGGGCGUAAAGAGCUCGUAGGCGGUCUGUCGCGUCGAUCGUGAAAACUUGGGGCUUAACCCUGAGCUUGCGGUCGAUACGGGCAUGACUGGAGUUCGGCAGGGGAGACUGGAAUUCCUGGUGUAGCGGUGAAAUUCGUAGAUAUUAGGAAGAACACCGGUGGCGAAGGCGGCCCACUGGAUCGGUACUGACGCUGAGGUGCGAAAGCGUGGGGAGCAAACAGG
rnacentral:rRNA from 1 species